CACGUAGGCACCAAGCGUUGUCCGGAUUUAUUGGGCGUAAAGAGCUCGUAGGCGGUUGUGUAAGUCGGGUGUGAAAACUCUGGGCUUAACCCAGAGCCGCCACUCGAUACUGCUCUGACUUGAGUUCGGUAGGGGAGCAGGGAAUUCCUAGUGUAGCGGUGAAAUGCGCAGAUAUUAGGAGGAACACCGGUGGCGAAGGCGCUGCUCUGGGCCGAAACUGACGCUGAGGAGCGAAAGCGUGGGUAGCAAACAGG
rnacentral:rRNA from 1 species